ACCUCUGUAAGGGCAUCUCAGUUUGGAGAAGGAAGCGUGAGCUCCAAGAGCUGACUGUGAGUGACUCCAGAGCUGAUCUGAUUGGGGCCUACCAAAUCCAUUAACGACGUCGAAAGUAGCCUACUUUAAGAGAAAAUAUGCAGAAGAAGAACAUCUACAUCAGGAUUACCAUGAGUAUUGUCCAAAACACCUGAUACUCCCUGAGGACCGGACUUGUAUUCUAAAACUUUCUCUCCAGAAACUCCGAUUCCUGGAAGAUCCCGAAGCCUAUCUCCGUAGGUCGGUGUUAAUUAACAAUCUGUUGAGGAAGAUUCACCUAGAGACAGAGAGGGAGAGCUAUGAGUACUUUAAGGAGGCUCCGUGCUAUAGGACUGCUUACUCUGACUCACGAAAACGGCUGAAGUUUAUGGUACACGAGUGCUGUUCCCAGUCGCUCUAUUAUGAAGAGCUGCAUUCGUAUCGCAUUGUGCCUUAUUCUGCAGAGAACGCCGUUUAUGGGAUGGGCUACACAAGCAGCCACCUGGAGCAAAAUUCUCAAUUGCUUAUUUAUAAAAUGAAUUAAAGUAGCUGUUAGACCCA